GCCGGAGUGGCGGAAUUGGCAGACGCAGCGGACUUAAAAUCCGCUGAGAGUAAUCUCGUGCCGGUUCGAUCCCGGCCUUCGGCACCA
rnacentral:tRNA from 1 species